CGCGUAGGCGGGAGCGCAAGUCAGAUGUGAAAACUAUGGGCUUAACCCAUAGCCUGCAUUUGAAACUGUGUUUCUUGAGUGUCGGAGAGGUUGACGGAAUUCCGUGUGUAGCGGUGAAAUGCGUAGAUAUACGGAAGAACACCAGUGGCGAAGGCGGUCAACUGGACGAUAACUGACGCUGAAGCGCGAAAGCGUGGGGAGCAAACA
rnacentral:rRNA from 1 species